ensembl:lncRNA
CAGGCUGUCACUUAGCAGUAAUAAAGCUGUCAAUGGUAUCAGCGACCAAUCUUUUAAUAUGGUAUCAGAAAGUCUGACAAGAGCAUAGGGGUGCCGGAUUUCCAAUGACAAGUUAAUUUAUUCAAAGCACUCUGAACAUUAUUUCCAUUCCUAUGGCACGCAAAUGAUGCCCAGCAAGGCUGGUGUCUGCUGGAUGGGAUGCAGACGGCGGAAGAAUUUGGCACGCGGUGAUCCUGUAGGUAUUCCAUGGGCUGAAAGCAGAAUUAACUCACUAGUGCGAGGGGAAGAUGCAGAUCCAUGCCCUUGUAUCCUCUCAGAGAUCUCCCCUAUUGCCAGAGGAAAAGCUCCAGCUGUAGUGCAGAGGCCUGGCAUCACUUUACCUCUUGGAGCACAUUAGAUUGUGUGAGAGGAUCAGCAUUGCUUCUGCACAGUUUUCUGACUGCUUUGACCAAUCAUAAAGUCAGCACUUCAAAGGAAGAUCUUCAGAUUCUAGAUGUGACCUUUUCAUCUCAGCACAGCAAAGCCAAGGAAUCGGGAUACGAGACAGCUCCUGAAGCUAGGUGCUCACCCCGGAAUGAACCCACUGGAACAGAAAAUUAUUCUGUUUGGAAGCACACUCGGCCCAUGAUUCAUAAAAAUACCAGAAUGACAAAAUGGAUCCCACAGCCUCCUUCUGCAAUGGUGCCUUCUUCAACCAGUGAGGGGAAGAGGAAUGCCUAUGGUGCAAAGCUGAGAGUUCGGACCUCAUCCUGCGGACAGCGAUGGCAUGCACCAGAUUACUAUGAGACACCACAAGUCAUGUGAGACUACCUGCCUGCCCUUGUGGGGUUCUCAAAGGGAUUUGGUGAAGGUGGGUGCUAUUGCUCCUGUGUGGUACACAGAACUGAACUGUGAGGGAGAAUGAAAUAGCAAGUUGUUCUGAAAGUGUAUCCCUUGGCUAUCUGAUCAUCUCUGAAGACCUCAGGGAUUGGAUUUGAGAAGGCAUUGCUUAAUUAGCUCAUCAGACUCAUUGAACCUGGAAGGAAUUGGGUUUUAAUUCACUUUUCGUAAUAUGCUUUGCUUUUAUGAACCUUAUGUGAAGCACUCACUCUGUAAAUAAAUUAUAUUUGCCUUCUUUUUUCUUAUUCUCCCCACACUGGUCCCAUCUAAUACUCACUUGAGUUGCAUUUAAAAAGUGAAUAAUCACAAACAGGAAAGACCAAAGCUCUUUAGUUUAAACAAACCUUAUUCUGGAGCAGCAAAUAUAGUUUCCUCUCAAUGAAACAAGACUAAGCAGUCUUUGGAGGCAUUCUUAUUAAUGUAGGAAAAAGGUUAUUACAUCAUUACUUUCUGUCUGCCCUAGUAGCUAGGGACUACCUAAAGAUAGAAGGUUAACUCAAUGAUAUAUCAGUCAGGUAUCUGCAGCUGGGACUUAAGCGGAAUUCAAGGCACCUCUCCAGAGAGCAGUGAAAUACUGUGCAGAGAUAUCUCUGCUAAUGAUGUCUGAGAGAGUUUGGUUGUUGGAAGCAAGGCAGAAAAACAAGCAUGGCCGUAUUAUUGUAUGAUGAGGCUGCCUAGAGGCAGAGGAUUGCUCACUGCUGUUAGCCUCAGUCCUGGUAAGGGACUGUGCCCAUCAGGGAAACUUGUGAUGCUGAAGUACAUUGUCUGAGACAUCUGUUAUUGCCAGCAUAACUCUUUCAUACCUGUAAUUCACCACCUCUGAUGGAUUUAGUCAUUAGACUAUCCUUGCCAGCAGAGGGUUGCGCAGACUACGUGCUGCUGAAUUCUCUCCAGUAGCAGAUGGAACCAAUGCAGACAUUGAAAGGACAUCCAGCCCCCUAGCACCAGCCACCCAAGAGGGGCUGCUUGCUAGGCUUUAACUGGAGGAUGUGACUGAAAUAUGCUUCUUCUGCUCAAUCUGGAGCUGGGAUUUCAUAGAAUCUUAGAAUCAUUAAGGUUGGAAAAGACCACUCAAAUCAUCUAUUCCAACCGUCAAAUCAAUGACUGUAGCAUUUCUAAAAAAAGUACUGAAAUCUCCAGGCUACUGGAUAAAGCUAUGAUAUUUUGAGAGUUUACUCAAUAUUGUGUCAGGCUAUUAAAUACCAUUGCAGGAAGGACAGCCUUGUAUUCAGAGUACUCACCUGAGAAGUCAUGGAUCUGACAAUCUAACAGUAUUUGUUUGGUUUACACACAAAAUGGAAGAGCUUCAAGCAUAGAAAGAGAAAAAUCCACUGUAGAGUUUCUUAGACUCCCUGGGGAUUGUGGCAGGCAGUAUGCCUGAACACAGCACUUAAAAAUUCAAGGCUAAUGCUGCAUCCAGCCAUCUCCCUAUUACCCUGUGGGGUCUGCAUCUUUACGUUUAUUAAAAAUGACCCGAACCAAAGUGAAGUGAUUUGUUUCAGGUUAAGCAAAACAUCUCAUUCAAAUCAAAUGCAC